rnacentral:pre_miRNA from 1 species
AUCGAUAGUUUUUCGAUAGUCGACUGUCGAUAGUACUAUCGAUAGUUUUUCUAUAGUCGACUAUCGAUAGUUUUUCGAUAGUCGACUGUCGAUAGUACUAUCGAUAGUCGACUAUCAAUAGUACUAUCGA